rnacentral:lncRNA from 1 species
AAAAACUAUUACGAAUUAUUAUCAUAUUUAAAAAAAAAAAAAAAAAAAACCCAAUCAAAAUUCUGACAGUGAUAUUACAGUACCUAUUACAUCAUCAUGAACACCAAAUGACCUGUAAUACCCCAAAUUUUCAUAUCAAUUUCCUUAUAUUAUUUCCGAAAUUAAUGAAUGAUUAUUUGUGGAAAUUCUUAUUCGUUUGUGCGAAGUUGAAGUUUCGGGAGUCAAAUUUUUUAAGGUGUUUUGACUUUUAAGAGGUCAAAAGUUGACUUUCUUAUUCGUAAGUUAAUUUCGAAAACUUCCUUCAUGAAAAUUGUAGAGUUUAGCGAUACGAGUUCGUAGACACACAGCACACGUAAAUCGGAUGUCGUAUGAGAAAGUUACAGUCAGAGGAAGUUAGUUUCCGGUUUUAGAAAGUGUAUAAGUAGAAAAGGGGAACCUAGAAACCCUAAAAGUUUCCAGAAAAUUUCAGAGAGUCUCUCUCUUCCUCCUCGAGCCACUCGCGCACCCUCAACUUCUUCUGGCCAUAACUCGGCCAUACGGUGACGGAUUUGUGCGUGCUUGGUAUCGUUGGAAAGCUCUCACUCCCUUCUUUCUAUUCAUACCAGCCUCACACCCUAUGGAGCAUUGUGCAUGGCGCAGUAAGGCCCACAAGUUACUGCCUCUGCCAGCGGUGAAGCUCCGACCAAUUCUGACGAAAUCGAGGUUUAAGGCUACCUUUUUUUGGAAGUUCUUGUCCUUCUGAGCAUUAUGAUACCAGCCUUGAAGCCCAAUUCGAAGCGUGGAGCUUUUGAGUUCGAAGGGCACCUUGUUUCUUUCCGGCGACAUUUCCAGCCUCUUUCCGGUUGAAUUGGCUUUGGCCACAGGUAUGAAAAGUGUUCCAUUUGAUGUGACCUACAAGUUUGUUGUUGGGAGUUUACUCAGAUUUUGAAGUUGACUGGGUGGCACGUGGGGCCCACUCGCCGCCUCCUGUGGUGGCACGUGGUAGCCCAUCCGGGCAGUAUGAGUGGGUUUGGUUGCUGUGUUUGCUAGUUUGUGAGUGUUGUUGUGUGAUAAGGCUAAGUAUUGAUUAGGUAGUGCAUCUUAGGUGCUAUGUUAAUCAUUGAUGUUUGUUAAGUUGUAAACUUUGGAAGUUGAGCUUGGAGGUAGCAUGGAUAGGUUGUUGAGUGUCCGACGACCUUGAGAGGUCUUGGAGGAAGGAUUGUCCUUCUUUGGGCAACCUUUAGGCUAAGGUUUGGUUAAGGGUGCUUUAAUCUUUUGUUGAGUAGUUACUAAGGUUAUUAAUUGUGUAAUUUUAGGGACUUGUGAAGUGUUUUGGCUUGGCUCUUGUGUUUUGUGGAAGACGCAGCGGGAUUAAUUAGGUGAGUAAAUCUUACCAAGGUUCACAUUUGGACCAAAUUAUUAUGGUCAUUUUAGUGAUGAUGUUGAAUUAAAAAAUAUGUUAUUGUUUGUUUUUAAAUAUAUGAGCUUGAUCGCCAACAACUCAUAGGUAAGAUAAAACAAGUUUUCCUAUUAUAUGAUUAUUUUUAAUGUUCAUGUGAUCAUAAUAUUGUUGGUUCUUGAUAGAUUAUUCUUGUGGGAAUAUCUAUGUUUGUUCAUAUAAAUAUAUCUAUAUGGAAUGAUAUAAUUUUUAUGAUGUGCUCUUUGUGUUGUUGAUGAUGUUGAAUUAAAGAAUAUGCUAUUGUUUGUUUUUAAAUAUAUGAGUUUGAUCGCCAACGGCUCAUAGGUAAGAUAAAACAAGUUUUCUUAUUAUAUUAUUAUAUUGUGAUUUGUUGUUUAGAUAGUCAAACCGGGUUCCAAGUCUUUAAUCGGGUGAUUGGUUACGGUUAUGAUGAUUCUACUCUACUUUGAUUUGUUGUGUAGAUAGUCAAACCGGGUUCCAAGCCUUUAAUCGGGUGAUUGGUUAUGGUUAUGAUGAUUCUACUCUAUUGUGAUUUGUUGUGUAGAUAGUCAAACCGGGUUCUAAGCCUUUAAUCGGGUGAUUGGUUACGGUUAUGAUGAUCCUACUCUAUUGUGAAUUGUUAUGUAAAUAGUCAAAUUGGGUUCCAAGCUUUUAAUCAGGUGAUUGGUUACUGUUAUGAUGCUAUUAUUAUUUUGUAAUUUGAUAUUAGACAGUCAAACUGGGUUCCAAGCCUUUGGCCGAGUGAUUGGUUACGGUUAGGAAUAGAGCUCUAGUCCGUCUGUCGGUGUAGGUCAUGGGAGGUACCUUAAGGUAUCUGGGACCCAUUGGUACAUAAAUUGUUGUUGUAGGUCAUGGGAGGUACUUAUUAAUAUAUGGGACACAUGGGUACAUGUGUUUGUUGUAGGUCAUGGGAGAUACCUUAUUGGUAUCUGGGACUCAUGGAUACAUGUAUAUUUGUAAAAGUGUUGAUUAUGUGAUUUUAAUAUUUAUUCUUAUAUUGUUUCAUGUGUUUUUAUUGGUUGUUGGAAAUGUUGGUUGUUGGAUUUGUAGAAUUAAUUAUUUUUAUUAAUUGUUUUAUUUGGAUGUUGGAACUGUUGAGUUAAUUUUUGGGAGUUACUCAUACGGGCUUUUUCGCUUACCGGGUUUGUUGUUUUACAACCCGGUGCACCAAUUCUUAGUGUAGGGGUUAGAUCUGCAGGUGAUGAUCAACAGGGUUAAGGCAGAGGCAUAAUAGCUGGGUUUUAGACAAUGUACAUUUAUUUGUAUAUUUUUGGAGUUUGUUUUUAAGCUCAUGUGAGCGUCUUCAUUUUUACUAGACUUUUCAAGUUGUUGUAAUUAAGGAGAUGUAAUGUUUAACUCAAUUGUUGAGUUUUGCUGACAUUUACAUUUCCAGCAUUUGGGUUUAAUUUGAGAUUUGUUGAGCAGGUUUUGAGAGUGAUAUUUUGAGAUAUAUCAUGCCCAAAUUUUUGAAAAUUAUCCUUCAAAAAUUAAUUUUCAAAAAUUGGGGUGUGACAUGACCACUGUGAACCUCCAGAAAUCUCACUAACACCAAUAGCCGUAUCAUUAAAUCCUUGCAAAUCUAUAGAUGUUCCUUCACCUUCAACAGAUUCCAGUUCGAAAACCUUUUUUUUCUUGUAGAGUUUUUUUUUUCUAGUCAUAUUUAAAACAAAUAAAACAACAAACCGUUGAUUGACUACACAAAAUACUAUCAAUGUUUUGGUAGCUUAUUUAACAUACCGGUUCCUGAAUCACCAAAUUUUUAAUAAACAACAAUAGUUGUAUGUCUAAUUUAAACAAUGCUACUAACAUUCUGUAAACCAUCAUUAUAAUCAUAUUGCUAUCAGUCUUGGCAAUAGUAUACACUAAUAUAUGAAGUCUUCCAUUUAAACUGCUAGAAUUUUUUAGAACUCAAGUUGAUUUAUAUAAAAUUAUAUUUAUGAAGCAAUAUAUGAAUGAAAGGUAAUUAUAUUUGUUUUAUAAUUAGUUAUAUUUGUCAUCUAAUUAGCAAUAACAAAUAUAAUAACUAAUUAUACAAACCUCUUAUAUUUGCACUCUUAGCUGAUACAUUCUCACAAACCAAGACCCCGUCAUCUUCUACUGGCUCAAUGUGUUCGAUCGUUUCUAAAAUUAUGUUCUUCGAAAAAUCUCAUUCUUGAAUGUCGCCGGUUUUCAGGCGUCAUACCUAUGAGAAAAACCUAGUUUUAAUAACAGUACUUAAAAUUCUGUUUUUAUCUUUUAUUUAAAAAAAAAAACUGAAACUACAGCAAAACAACAAAAAAUAAAGAUAUUAAGUAGAAAAACAAAGUGAAAAUAAAAACUAACAGAAUAAAUCACAACAUCAAAAGAGCAAUGAUGAAUUAAUCCAAUAAAAACUUUUGUACAAAAUAAAGUUUACAUGACCAUUUUCUUUGUAAAAGAAAUUAAAGAAUGAAAUGAGUUACAUUCAUUACUUAAAAAAAAAAAAAAAAGAACAACAAACAAUAAAAUAUACUUAAAAAAAAAUUGUGUGAUAUCUUUUCAAUAUGAUAAUAGUUGACAGUCUGAAAUUUUGAAAGGUUUAGGGUUAUGAUAAUAGCGUGAUAUCUUUUCAAUAUGAUAAUAGUUGUUAUGAUGUUAACAGUUAAUUCCUCAUAUGAAGUAUCAUGUAAAUAUGAAUGUGAAGAUUGAUAUUAACUGUCCACUUAUUCUUAUUUUCAAUUUGAGUGACUAUUUCCAAAGAGUGAAGAAUCACUGAAAAACCAAAAUAGCAGUCACACACCUGGACACAAAAGAAUUUCAACGAACCGCUGUUUAUACUUCCCAAAAUGCGCUCUGUAGUGUUCCAAAUCAGUUAUGCAAAAGAGGUCUUCACUCUCUUCAGAACCUAUUAAGAAACAGAGAAAAAUAGAAUUAUAUUAUAGCUUCUUCACUACAUUUAUCUAUUCCCAUUAAACGUUAAUAACUUCAACUCUAGCCCUUAACGUUAUUUGACUUAUGCAGUAAAUGUCGUUUGAUGUGUUCAGUCAAUUUUAUCGGUAAAGUUAUAAUCUAAGUCUUUUGUGUAGUAUAAGUUGGAGUGAUGAACCAACGCUACUUUAUUAAAAUGGAAUUUGUAUUAUGAAGAUAUAUUUUGCAUCCAAUUUAUCAGCCAACCAUAUUUUAAUUAACAGUAGCUAAGAAACCGAAGCAAAAAAAAAAAAAUUGCCAACAUCACAUUGAUCUAAAAUGUUGCAUCAAUUUAUUUUUUUGUUUACACAUCAUUGCAUUGAAAGCCAACAUAAACCAAGGAUAACAUGAAAAGAACAAUAAGACAAAAUGCAUCUAAAAUAUAAACCCAAAUCAGAAGACAAAAUACCGUAAAUAUGAAAUGCAAACCUGAAUAAGAAGGGCACAAUAAUGGAACAACAUAACAGCAAAUAGAAGAGCAGCAGCAAAAACUUACGAUUAACAAAUCUGCACAUAAAACCUGCAAAAAAAUAAAAACAAAAAAAUGAAAAGAAAUGACAAUAGAUAAUCCUUCUAGCUCACCCAACCACUGUAUUCAACUAAAACAGAAAUGCAUUUAAAAAAUGUAAAUAAAAGAUUAUGUUCAUAAAAUAAAACUGUUACGACAAAGAUGUAACAAAGAUCGAUCUAAUGAAGACCUAAAUACAAAUGCAAUAAACAAAUACCAUUAAUUAGUCUAUCCCUAUUUCUCAAAACAACCUCAUAUAUAAAGGGACAGAAGAAGUUGGAAUCAAACCCGAGUCUCAUUCCUUAAGUCAACGUUUUUCUUUAAAUUUCAAUUAGUAAGUGCUCAAUCAACUUGGUUAGUAACACUAUUCGAAGUACACAAUACCAAACUUCAUGAUCAGUACAAAUGCAAAUGCAAACUUGAUUUAAUAAUUAAUACUAUGCUAUUUCAAAUAGUAAGUGUACAAUAAACUUGGUAUCAUUCAAAGCACACAAAUCCAAAUAAACUUGGUAUCAUUUAAAGUACACAAAACCAACAACCCGCGCGCUGCUGCGGGGUGAUCAAUGUAAAAUGUGGCAUCCAUUUUGAUUUGGAUGUGGUAUUAUGAAACAUAUGUCAGACCAAAAAAAAAUUAUGAAACAUAUGUGUAUGCAAAAAAGGGUUGAGCUAAACUAUUGUCUUGUCCAUUCAAGCUUAAGUAAUUAGUACGUUAUCAAUUUUCGAGUUAAUGAGUUGGUAUGCAUUACCUAGGUUAGUUCGACCACAUAAACAUAAUUUACACUACAUUGAGGAACAAUUGUAUAGAACGGUCAAUUGAAGGUAUGUUUUGUGAACUCAUGUAGAAUAUGAAAUACUAAUACACAACACAUAAGUGAUGUUUAGGAUUCAAACACAUCAAAUGUACAUAAAUAGAAAUGAACAAUUUCGUAAUCACUAUGGAUUAUUUAUUAAGUUUCACUCUAUUGAUAGGGCCUCAAACAGCUUCAAAUAGCACGUAGAUGGAUACCAGUUUAGUUUAGCCUAGCUUCAAGGCCACAUGAGAAAUUUGACAUGCACCAACCAAUGACACUAACAAUGUUUUUGAAGGUUUUUUUUUAAAUAAAUGUUUUUGAAGGUUUAUUGCUUGAUGAAAUGCCUAUAUAGAAGUUUUGAUAUAGAACAUAGUCAUAUACUACCACAUUAUUACAACUAAAAAGGAAAAAUGUUAUAAUACAUCAAUAAUAGCCAACAAAAAGAAGGAGAAAAAAGGGAAAGACAAAAAACACAUACCUAGAAGAUAGAUGUUGUAAGAAAAAAAUCAGUUCAGCCAGGAACAAUAGCGGUAUGUAAAACCUACAAGGAAGAGCACCAAAUGCAUAGUAAACUUGAAAUACAUACUCAUUAACAAAACCAUGACAGUUUGGGGCUUUGACUCGACUAAUCAUGAUAGUUUUAGCAUGCAACUAAACAAAUGAACAGUAAAACCUUAUUGCGGGUAUGGGUAUAAUGUUCACACCAAAAUGUUGCUCAACAGGUUAUUAUGAAUGAAAUCGCAGAGAUAUAAGCAUUCAAAAUUCCCGACUCGAUCAAACCGAGUCCACCCCUCACUACUAGAAAAAAGUUCUUAGGUGACCAAAUUUUUUCAUCACCUAAGAGCUUAUGUCGUCAUGUAAACACUAAAACAACGAAAAUUUCGUCACCUAAGGGUCGUCAUGUAAGGCCGGUGGUUAGAGAACUCAGGUGACGAAAAUAUGAAUUUCGUCACCUUAGUAAUAACUAAGAUGACGAAAGAUUUUUCGUCGCCAAGAUACUUAGAUGACGAAACUAUUCUCGUCACCAAGCUACUAAGCUGACAAAAAUAAUUUCGUCGUCAGGUUACUUAGCUGACGAAAAAUUUUUCGUCGCUAGGUUACUUAGCUGACGAAAAUUCGUUUGUCACCAUGUUACUUAGCUGACGAAAAUGGUUUCGUCACCCAGUUACUUAGCUGACGAAAUUUAUUCAGUUUGCUGACAAUUCUUACACCACCUCCGACACCAACUUCUUACAACCCAGAUCCAAUCAACCCCAAACAACCCCAAUAUCUUACAACCAAUAUCAAGCAACCCAAUUUCAACCAAGAUCGCCUCCGUAGUCAUAUGCAAAAACACAAAUUAACAAGGCCAAAACGGGAAGGUGAGCGGCCGAUCGACUUGCUGGGACAGGCUCCGAUCAUGACGAGGGUGGAGGAGCUGUAGUCAAUGAGUCCAAUGCCUUGGUUGGACUGGAGGCCGAUGAAGGCGAGGAAGAGGCCGAUGCCAGCAGAGGAGCUGAUUUGGACGAGUUUAGGGAUCAACUUGGCGAGAUGGGCGCGGAGUCCGGUGGCGGAGAUGGGCGCGGAUUCCGAUGGCGAGAUGGGCGCAAAGUCCAAUGGAGGAGGAAAAUUAGUCCUUCCAUGAAAACGGCUGCCAAGGAGAGGCAGGAGGCGACGGUCGCGAAGAAGAAAGAGAGUCAGAGGGAAAACGGCUGCCAAUGAUGAGGGAGGAGGCGACGGUGGCGAAGAAGAAGGAGAGGCAGAGGGAAAGCUAGAGUCUAAGGGUCUCUCGGUGCGUGGAAAUUGGGGUAGAGGAGAGGAGGGAGAGAGAAGAGAGAGUUCAAAGAAAACAAUAGAGAAAUGAAAAGUGAGGCAGAGGAUAUAUAAGGAAACUUUCAAAAAUUUGGUUCAAAUUUUUCUGAAAUUUUUGGCGGAAAAGGUGCCGCUAAAAAUUUCGUUACUUAAGUGACGAAAAGUUAUACUUUCGUCGCGUAAGUGAUUAAAAAUGUAAUAUCCUAGAUUUUCGUAUCUAUUUUUCAUUGUUUUAUUCCCUUAUUUUAAUGAAGGAUUAUUCAUGAAAAUUCUUGGGUUUAUGCGAAGUUGAAGUUCGGGAGUUUAUUUAAAGUUGCCUUGACUUUUACUAGGCGAAAAGUUGACUUUAUUUUCCGUAAGUUAUCUUCGAAAACUUCCUUCAUGAAAGUUGUAGAGCUUGUCGAUACGAGUUCGUAGACAUGCGGCACGUCUAAAACGGAUGUCGUAUGAAGAAGUUAUGUUCAGAGGAAGUUUGUUUUCGGGUUUGAAAAGAGUAUAAGUAGAAAAAUUGUGUGUGGGAUUAAUUAGAACCCUAAAAAUCAGUUUCCCUCCUCUCUCUCUCCUCCCACCCGAGCUCCCCGAGCCUUCACUUUCUUCAGCCGAGUUCUUCCUCCUCCGGCCACCAAACCGGACGCCACCGGUCCCAUUCGACUCCCACAGCAGCCCUCUCCAUUUCUGGAGCAGUCCCGCCGGCUGUCCCGCCGCCUGGAAACCGCCACGAAGCGGCGGAGCUGCUGCUGUCCCGCCGGAAAACCGGCGAUUUCGACGCCGUUUCCGGCCAAGUUUAGGCGAGUCUUGAUCCCCUCUUCCUCCUAGCAGUGUCUAGGCAUAGUUGAAGCAAGUUUUUGAGGUUUUGAGGCCGGUUUUGCAGGUUUUGUAGAGUGAUUUUCUGGUCUUUGUUCAGGGAAGUUUCCGGCCAGUUCCGGCCAAAAUUGGUCGAAGUCACAGGUAUGAAAGUUGUUCCCCUUGCUUCAAGCUUCAACUUUGCUGUUGGGAGUUUCUCCUAAUUCGAAAGUUUGGGGUGGCGCGUGGGGCCCACUCGCCGCCGCUUGUGGCGGCGUGUGGCGGCGCGUCCGGCUGAGUUGCGGCCUUAGCUUCCUGUGGUUAGCUAGUCUUUGUUGCUGUGAGCUUGUUGAGUGGUAGUAUGGCUAGAUUUUAGGCAAGGUUGGCAUGUUAGGACUUAAGUUUAUUUGUGUAGGCUUGGUUGAGGUUUGGGGUAAGAUUUGAGGAUCAGAGGCAGCCUUUGUGGGUCUCUAAGUUAGACGACUUUGGAAAGUUGUCAUCUCUUUAACUAACUAAGGGUUAGUUAAGGAUAGUGCGAUAACCUUUUGUGUUUUAGUUACUAAGGUUUUAUUUGUGCUAUUUUUAGGUGAUUUGUGAAGUUGUGUUGGUUUACCUUGGUCGGUUGUGGAAUUUGCAGCGGGAGAUUUAGGUGAGUAAACCUCACCAAGGUUCACUUUUGAACCUAAGGAUAUUAUGGUUAUAUAAUGAUAAUGAUGAUGAUGUUGGUUUUAAUAUUAUGCUUUUAAUUGUUUUAAAAUUAUAUGAGCUUGAUCGCCAACGGCUCAUAGGUAAGAUAAAAACAAGUUUUCUUUAUAGUGAUGUUGAGAAUAAUGAUGUGAUAUAUAUUAUGUUGUUGAGAAUAAUAAUUGUGAUCUUGUGUUGUUGUGGAUAAUGUUGUGAAAAUUAUUAUGAUUGUUGGAUAAAUAGCCAAACCGGGUUCCAAGCCCUUUUGGGUGAUUGGUUGCGGUUAAGAUGCUAUUUAUCAUUUUUGUAUUGAUAUUAGACAGUCAAACCGGGUUCCAAGCCUUUGGCCGGGUGAUUGGUUACGGUUAGGAAUAGAGCUCUAGUCCGUCUGUCAGUGUAGGUCAUGGGAGAUACUGUAUGGUAUCUGGGACCCAUGGGUACACAUAGUGUUGUUGUAUGUCAUGAGGGGUAUUUUAUUAAAUAUCUGGGACUCAUGGGUACAUUUCUUAGGUAAUGUGUUAGAUGUGUGGUUUUUAAUUAUUGAUCCAAUCUCUCUUGUGAAUAUUGGAUGUGAUUAAAUGUUGUGUUGUUUUGAGUUUACUCAUACGAGCUUUUUAGCUUACCGGGUUUGUUGUUUACAACCCGGUGCACCAUUCUUGGUGUAGGGGUUAGACCUGCAGGUGAGGAUCAGCAGGGUUGAGGUGGAGGCUUAGUGGCAGGGUUUUUUGUCGGGUUUUGGAUGUUCAUUGUAUAUUCUUUUUAUAUACACUGAGUUAUGAUUCAUUAAACUCAUGUGAGAGUUUCUUUUUCUUGUUCUCAAGUUAUGUAAACAAGGAAUUGUAAUUUAACUCAAUUUGGUGUUGUGUGUAAAUUUACUUUACGCAUUGAGUUUAUUUCCCUGAUUUUUGUUGAAACAGGUUUUGGGAUUUUAAUAUUUUAGGAUAUAUCAUGCCAAAAUUUUUGAAAUUUAUCUUUCAGAAAUUGGGGUGUGACAAAAAAUUUGGCUAAAAAAUUGGCGGAAUUUUUUACCCGCCAAAUAUUAAGUAGUUAGGUGAUGAAGACAUGAAUUUUCGUCAUCUUAGUGAACAAAAAAUAUUUAUUUUUAAGAAAAGGUUUUGAUAGAAUGUGAUCUUGUUAAAUAGGGAGGAAGCAAUAUUUUCAAAAAUUUUGUGAAAUAGGAUGUCAUCGGUAUGGUGAAAUACGACUAUGAUUGAAAAAUCACAUAUUUCCGGUAACGUUUGGUCCCCGAUACAAGCGGUCAACCAUAUAUACGCUUAUGUUUCCUUAUGUGGAGCCCUAUCGUCGAGAAGUGAACGUACCCAAAUUUUUACAUGAGUGGUUACAUCUCAUCAAUGUGACAGUUUUGUGUGUGAAAGAAUUAAUCAAACUAGGUCAUAUAAGAGUAGGUAAGAGCGUUUUCGUGUAAUAAGUGACGUUAAUUUAAUGUUGACCGUAUAGAUCGAGACCUAAAUGUUUUCAAAAACUGGUGGAUUUUUUUUCAUAGCCGUAUUUAAGUACACUGAUCAUAUCAAACGGUUGAAUUUUUAUUUUGUAAAAUAUAGCCAUCGGAACCACAACGUGUCUAUUAAUGUGGUAUAACUUGUUUAGUAGGUUAUAUGCAAGUGUAGAUAUUUGUAAACCAACUAUAGGGAGGAAGCAAUAUUUUCUAAAAUCUUGUGAAAUAGGAUGUCAUCGGUAUGGUGAAAUACGACUAUGGUUGAAAAAUCACAUAUUUCCGGUAACGUUUGGUCCUCGAUACAAGCGGUCAACCCUAUAUACGCUUAUGUUUCCCUAUGUGGAGCCCUAUUGUCGAGAGGUGAACGUCCCUAAAUUUUUACAUGGGUGUUAUAUCUUAUCAAUGUGAGAGUUUUGUGUGUGAAAAAAUCAAUCAAAAUAGGUCAUAUAGGGGUAAGUAAGAGAGUUUUCAUGUAAUAAAUGACGUUAAUUUAAUGUUGACCGCGUGGGUCGAGACCUUAACGUUUUCGAAAACUAGUGGAUUUUUGUUCAUAACCGUAUUUAAGUACACUGAUCAUAUCGGAAGGUGGAUUUUCUAAAAUUUUACUUCUACCCUGUAGUUGGUUCAAAAGGACACACGACUUUAUGUUUCGUCACCUAAGUAAAGGUGUUAGACGACGAAUUUAUUUUCGUCACAAAAGUAAGUUGUUAGGCGACAAAAUGCAUUUUCGUCACCUAAGUGCUCAAAACUUUGGUGACGAAAAUAUAUUUGGUCACCUAACCUUUCACUUACAUGACGAAAUCUAUUUUCGUCAC